rnacentral:rRNA from 1 species
AUUGAACGCUGGCGGCAUGCCUUACACAUGCAAGUCGAACGGCAGCACGGGUGCUUGCACCUGGUGGCGAGUGGCGAACGGGUGAGUAAUAUAUCGGAACGUACCUUAUUGUGGGGGAUAACGCAGCGAAAGCUGUGCUAAUACCGCAUAAUCCCCAAGGGGGAAAGCGGGGGACCGUAAGGCCUCGCGCAAUUAGAGCGGCCGAUACCUGAUUAGCUAGUUGGUGAGGUAAAGGCUCACCAAGGCAACGAUCAGCAGCUGGUCUGAGAGGACGAUCAGCCACACUGGGACUGAGACACGGCCCAGACUCCUACGGGAGGCAGCAGUGGGGAAUUUUGGACAAUGGGGGCAACCCUGAUCCAGCAAUGCCGCGUGAGUGAAGAAGGCCUUCGGGUUGUAAAGCUCUUUUGUCAGGGAAGAAACAGCUGCUCUAACACAGUUUGCGAAUGACGGUACCUGAAGAAUAAGCACCGGCUAACUACGUGCCAGCCGCCGCGGUAA